rnacentral:rRNA from 1 species
GAUGAACGCUGGCGGCGUGCUUAAUACAUGCAAGUCGAGCGAACAGACGAGGAGCUUGCUCCACUGGCGUUAGCGGCGGACGGGUGAGUAGCACGUGGAUAACCUACCUCUUCGACUGAGAUCACUUCGGGAAACCGUAGCUCAUACCGGGUGAUAUAUUGAGCCGCAUGGUUCAAUAGUUAAAGAGGGUUUUGCUGAGCCUUCUAGCUGGCUCCGCGCCGCAUUAGCUAGUUGGUACGGUAACGGCUUCCCAAGGCAAGGAUGCGUAGCCGAACUGAGAGAGGGAUCCGCCACACAGGGACUGAGACGCCGUCCUGACUCCUACGGGAGGCAGCAGUAGGGAAGCUUCCGAAAUGGGCGGAAGCCUGAAGGAGCAACGCCGCGCUAGUGCUGAGGGUCUGCGGAUCGUAAAACGCUGUUAUUAUGGAAGAACAAAUGCGUAAGUAACUAUGCACGUCUUGACGGUACCUAAACAGAAAGCCACGGCUAACUACGUG